rnacentral:ncRNA from 1 species
CCAGAGGAUGCUUACUUGUGUGGCCUUGAGUGGCUCACCGCAUGGAUGUCCACCACUCGUCUCAUUUGGUAGUGAAAUGCAGGGCUCCAUUCAGGCCCUACUUUGGGUCCCAAGUGGUUCCCCCUUGAAAUCCUGACCUCUGUAAGGGAUGCAUUUAUUAGAAAAAAGGCCAGUGCGGCUUUGCCCGAUGCUUUGGUGAAUCAUGAUAACUCGACGGAUCACAUAGCCAUUGUGCUGGCGACGCAUCAUUCAAUUUUUUGCCCUAUCAACUUUCGAUGGUAGGAUAGGGGCCUACUAUGGUGGUGACGGGUGACGAAGAAUUAGGGUUGUAUUCCGGAGAGGGAGCCUGAUAAACGGCUACCACAUCCAAGGAAGGCAGUAGGCGUGCAAAUUACCCAAUUUUGACAUGGGGAGGUAGUGGCAAUAACUUACAAUACCGGGCUCCAAGAGUCUGGUAAUUAGAAUGAGUACAAUCUAAACCCAUUAACGAAGAUCCAUUGGAGGGCAAGUCUGGUGCCAGCAGCCGUGGUAAUUCUAACUCUAAUAGCGUAUAUUUAAGUUGUUGCAGUUAAAAAGCUCGUAGUUGGAUCUUGGGCUGAGUCGACUUGUCCGCCUUCAUGGUGUGCACUGGCCAUCCCGUCCCUUCACCCGGCGACGUGUUCCUCGCCUUACCUGGCCAGGUCGUGCCUUCGGCAUCGUUGCUUUGAAGAAAUUAGAGUGCUCAAAGCAAGCCUACGCUUUGAAUACAUUAGCAUGGGAUAACAUCACAAGAUUUUGAUCCUAUUGUGUUGGCCUUCGGGAUCGGAGUUAUGAUUAAGAGGGACAGUCGGGGGCUUCGUAUUUCAUAGUCAGAGGUGAAAUUAUUGGAUUUAUGAAAGACGAACCACUACGAAAGCAUUUUUCGAGGAUGUUUUCAUUAAUCACGAAUGAAAGUUGGGGGCUCGAAGACGAUAAGAUACCGUCCUAGUCUAAACCAUAAACGAUGCCGAUCAAGGAUCGACAGAUGUUGCUCUUAGGACUCCGUCUGUACCUUAUGAGAAAUCAAAGUCUUUGGGUUUCG